UACAGAGGAUGCAAGCGUUAUCCGGAAUGAUUGGGCGUAAAGCGUCUGUAGGUGGCUUUUUAAGUCCGCCGUCAAAUCCCAGGGCUCAACUCUGGACAGGCGGUGGAAACUACCAAGCUGGAGUACGGUAGGAGCAGAGGGAAUUUCCGGUGGAGCGGUGAAAUGCGUAGAGAUCGGAAAGAACACCAACGGCGAAGGCGGGUUACUGGGCUGAUACUGACGCUGAUGCGCGAAAGCCAGGGGAGCAAACGGG
rnacentral:rRNA from 1 species